AUUGAACGCUGGCGGAAUGCUUUACACAUGCAAGUCGAACGGCAGCACGGGGGCAACCCUGGUGGCGAGUGGCGAACGGGUGAGUAAUGUAUCGGAACGUGCCCAGUCGUGGGGGAUAACGUAGUGAAAAUUACGCUAAUACCGCAUACGAUCUACGGAUGAAAGCGGGGGAUCGCAAGACCUCGCGCGAUUGGAGCGGCCGAUAUCAGAUUAGGUAGUUGGUGGGGUAAAGGCUCACCAAGCCAACGAUCUGUAGCUGGUCUGAGAGGACGACCAGCCACACUGGAACUGAGACACGGUCCAGACUCCUACGGGAGGCAGCAGUGGGGAAUUUUGGACAAUGGGCGAAAGCCUGUUCCAGCCAUUCCGCGUGCAGGAUGAAGGCCUUCGGGUUGUAAACUGCUUUUGUACGGAGCGAAAAGGCUCUCUCUAAUACAGGGGGCUCAUGACGGUACCGUAAGAAUAAGCACCGGCUAACUACGUGCCAGCCGCCGCAGUAAAAC
rnacentral:rRNA from 1 species